GAUGAACGCUGGCGGCGUGCCUAAUACAUGCAAGUCGAGCGAACGGACGAGAAGCUUGCUUCUCUGAUGUUAGCGGCGGACGGGUGAGUAACACGUGGAUAACCUACCUAUAAGACUGGGAUAACUUCGGGAAACCGGAGCUAAUACCGGAUAAUAUUUUGAACCGCAUGGUUCAAAAGUGAAAGACGGUCUUGCUGUCACUUAUAGAUGGAUCCGCUCUGCAUUAGCUAGUUGGUAAGGUAACGGCUUACCAAGGCAACGAUGCAUAGCCGACCUGAGAGGGUGAUCGGCCACACUGGAACUGAGACACGGUCCAGACUCCUACGGGAGGCAGCAGUAGGGAAUCUUCCGCAAUGGGCGAAAGCCUGACGGAGCAACGCCGCGUGAGUGAUGAAGGUCUUCGGAUCGUAAAACUCUGUUAUUAGGGAAGAACAUAUGUGUAAGUAACUGUGCACAUCUUGACGGUACCUAAUCAGAAAGCCACGGCUAACUACGU
rnacentral:rRNA from 1 species